GCUUAACACAUGCAAGUCGAGCGCCCUGCUUGCAGGGAGCGGCAGACGGGUGAGUAACGCGUGGGAACGUGCCUAUUGGUUCGGAAUAGCCCUGGGAAACUGGGUGUAAUACCGAAUGUGCCCUUCGGGGGAAAGAUUUAUCGCCAAUAGAUCGGCCCGCGUUAGAUUAGCUAGUUGGUGGGGUAAAAGCCUACCAAGGCUACGAUCUAUAGCUGGUCUGAGAGGAUGAUCA
rnacentral:rRNA from 1 species